GAAAACUCUCGGCUCUUCGUUUAUUUUAAGUAAUGCAGCUACCUGCUAUUUUUGGAAUAAAGCCAUAGAGAUACUCAUAUCUCUCAGGUUCAGAAGGAUGGGAGCCCAGCAGAGGCGGCCAAAUUCUGAACAAAAGUCCAGGGAGCGAGCAAGUCAGGUGCACAUGUAUGAGACC